CAAUAAGCGGAGGAAAAGAAACUAACAAGGAUUCCCCUAGUAACUGCGAGUGAAGCGGGAAAAGCUCAAAUUUAAAAUCUGGCAGUCUAUGGCUGUCCGAGUUGUAAUCUAGAGAAGUAAUGCCCGCGCUGGACCGUGUACAAGUCUCCUGGAAUGGAGCGUCAUAGAGGGUGAGAAUCCCGUCUCUGACACGGACUACCAGGGCUUUGUGGUAUGCUCUCAAAGAGUCGAGUUGUUUGGGAAUGCAGCUCUAAAUGGGUGGUAAAUUCCAUCUAAAGCUAAAUAUUGGCGAGAGACCGAUAGCGAACAAGUACCGUGAGGGAAAGAUGAAAAGAACUUUGGAAAGAGAGUUAAACAGUACGUGAAAUUGCUGAAAGGGAAACGCUUGAAGUCAGUCGCGUUAGCUGGGAAUCAGCCUUGCUUGUUGCUUGGUGUACUUUCUGGUUGACGGGUCAGCAUCAAUUUUGACUGCUGGAAAAAGGCCUUGGGAAUGUGGCAGCUUUGGCUGUGUUAUAGCCCUUGGUCACAUACAGCAGUUGGGAUUGAGGAACUCAGCACGCCGCAAGGCCGGGUUUCGACCACGUUCGUGCUUAGGAUGCUGGCAUAAUGGCUUUAAGCGACCCGUCUUGAAACACGGACCAAGGAGUCUAACAUGCCUGCGAGUGUUUGGGUGGUAAACCCUUGCGCGUAAUGAAAGUGAAAGUUGAGAUCCCUGUCGUGGGGAGCAUCGACGCCCGGACUUGAACUUUUGUGACGGAUCCGCGGUAGAGCAUGUAUGUUGGGACCCGAAAGAUGGUGAACUAUGCCUGAAUAGGGUGAAGCCAGAGGAAACUCUGGUGGAUGCUCKUAGCGAUUCUGACGUGCAAAUCGAUCGUCAAAUUUGGGUAUAGGGG
rnacentral:rRNA from 1 species